UCAUAUAAGAGAAAAUGGUGACAUGAAGAAUGAGAACUUGUGUGGUAGCCAAGGAUGACUUGCCUGCGUUUUAGACCAUAUAUAUCAAAGACUCACUCGAUCGAUAGUCUUAGAGUUGGUUGGUCGUCAGGCAGUCUCCUUGGCUAUUCAAACAAUUCUCAUUCUCUUCAUUCACAUUUCUCUUUUUUGG